rnacentral:rRNA from 1 species
AUGGCGAAGUGGACCUGUGGCGCGGCGGCGGGGGAAGGGGUCGUUGGCGCGCAGGGCAGCGGCCGCGGUGGGACGUGGGGGCGGCGGCCGCGGCUGGAUCUGGGCGUGAUGGCCAUGGCUAGAGCUGGGGCGGCGGCCGCGGCGGGAGGUGGCGGGGGCAGCCAUGACGGGCGGUGGCGGUCGCGGUGCGGAGACGGGUUAGCAUUUGAGGGAGGAAGAUGGGGGAGGGGAUCGGCGGCGGCUGCGAGGGCGAGGGCAACGGCGAGGGGAUCUGGUGUGGUGUCGCUCGAGGGCACCUGGAGGCUUCGCCCGUCGCUCGCUCGUUCGCACGUUGCCAGUCCAAGACGGGGAUGUGAUGCUUCUGUUCUCCUGGACGCAACUCCUUUCUCCCCCAGCGAGAAGGAUGUGGAGCCGAACGCCUCCCUCACCGGCUAUACCGUCAUCGACGACAUCAAGUCCGCGCUCGAGCACGACUGCCCGGCAACCGUCUCUUGCGCUGAUGUUAUCGCCCUGGCGUCCCGCGACGCCGUCGCCCUGCUCAGAGGUCCCACCUGGAGUGUGCCCUUCGGCCGCAAGGACUCACGCUUCGCCGCCAACCCGGAGUCCACCAAGAAGGGCCUCCCGAGCCCGCACAACAACCUCGGCGAGCUCAUCACCAUGUUUUCAAGGCUCAACCUCGACGCGCGUGACAUGACCGCGCUCUCCGGUGCCCACACCGUCGGGAUGGCCAACUGCAUGCACUACAGCGACCGCGUCUACGGCGCCGAUCGCGAUGAGGAGAUCGAUACUUUGCACAAACCAUGCAGCAGUCGUGCCAGGGUCCUUCUGACUCUCUACGGCGGUGGAGGCCUGCAUGACAAUCUCGUGGAGAUGUACGGCGCCAACGGUGAGGCGUUCACGAGGGACUUCGCCAAGGCCAUGGUGAAAAUGGGAAACGUUCCUCCGCCCAUGGGAAUGCCCGUGGAGGUGAGGCUCAAGUGCUCCAUGGCCAACUAUUGA